UACGUAGGGUGCGAGCGUUAAUCGGAAUUACUGGGCGUAAAGCGUGCGCAGGCGGCGCGUUAAGACAGGUGUGAAAGCCCCGAGCUUAACUUGGGAAUUGCGCUUGUGACUGGCGAGCUGGAGUGUGGCAGAGGGAGGUGGAAUUCCGCGUGUAGCAGUGAAAUGCGUAGAGAUGCGGAGGAACACCGAUGGCGAAGGCAGCCCCCUGGGCCAAUACUGACGCUCAGGCACGAAAGCGUGGGGAGCAAACAGG
rnacentral:rRNA from 1 species